GCCUGAUUUAGGGGUAAGAGAAGCCAGUGAGUUAUCUGCAGACUUGUUGGUAAGCGUUCCGUCUGUUAGGGAUGAGAAUGAGGGUCGACGGCCGCGACGAACCACCGCUGGCCACCACUCUAAUGUUUACCGCCUUCCCCGGCCUGUAGGUAGGGUAGUGUCGGAGGCCCAUACAGCUUCUACUGUAGCCUCAGCAAUUUUUAGGCCAUGGGAUUAAGUUGAUCGUCGGGGCGACGAUGCAAGACCUUGGGGGUGGACUGUGGCAUGUAGAGAUCGGGAGGUCAUUAUUGGGUAUUAGUUUAUUCAUUGGUUGGGGCCGAUAGAGGGGGUUGGAUUACGCAUAUAUAAACAGCAUACGUGUGUGUGACCCAGACGAGCGUCACUUCCCGGUAUCCCGUUUCGCUUCCGGCGUAUGGACUGAGGGCUGUUGUUAUCUUGGCUGUGCAGGACGAUUGCUGCAACUGUAAACAUCUCCGUGGCUGCAGAUAUUGUGGCUUUGACUUGUCGGCGGCGUGUCUCAUCUGUUUAUGCGAUCACAUUCAGUCAAUACGAUGCUGCGUAUGGGCGGAUGACGACUGUAUAUGCCAAGUUAUUCUCCUUGUGUAUCCUGAGCUCCACCAGCUG